CAGAAAUUAAAUCUUGGGCUGUAAAGAAGAAGCAUGGCCCAAGUUUGCCCUCCAAAAGGUUCUGAUUGUGAGUAAUAAUCCAAAGGGGAAAACAGCACAGAGAAAAAUGAACAGAACAUAUGGUGCCUUCUAUCAGUCAUCAUUACUGUUUCUUCAGCUAUGUCAACACCCCACAAAUAGAAAAAUAAGUGUGAAUUUCUUCCUACUGAAAGAGUAAAGAAGAAAUGAUGGAGAAACUGAGGCACAGAAAACACAAGUGACUUGGAGUGUCACUGUCAGAGCUGGGAAGAAAUUCCAGGAGUAGAGUCCCCUGCAGUAUCCACUGGACAUCUCCCUUGUGCAGGUCUGCAUAUCUGCAUAUUUUUUGGAAUCAGGUGGUGUUUUCAGUGUGGCAUAUCAUGUAAUUGUGUUGAGUAUAUCUGGAAUGUUAAACACUUAUUUUGAGUUGUAAGCCUUUUGACCCAGUGCCAAUAAUUAUGUGCUAUUGGGAGGCAGGUUUAGAGAGAGAAUUAAUGAUAAUAAUUAUUAACAAUGAGAUUUGCCUAAAUUUUAAAGCUGUCAUUAAAUUGUUUUGCCCUUUCUUUACUGGUAUCUAAUUUUUGCUCACUAUAUUUCCAAUAUAUUUUACUAAGAUAUAAUACAUGUGGAGUUUAUAUUGGAAUAUGUCAAAAAUCACAAUUUCCCUUGCAUUCCAUGUCUGCUUGGAAACACUGACUUAAAUACAACUGCUCGAGUUUCGGCAUGUUUAAAUGUACCUUCUUGAAUGAAGAAAAACUGCACAGCCAAUGAAAAGAGUAUUGCCUAAUGACGAGAUGUUAUCGCCUGCAUUGAGGAGCAUUUCAGAUGGGUUGUGUAGAGGCAGAAUCCAAGUAGAUAUGUUCCUAUUUUCUCACCGAGAGCCUGAUCCUACUCCAAAUGAACCCAGUGGAAAGACUCCCAGUGACUCAAGUGCACUACACAGAAUUUGUUUUGAAUAGAAACAUCAUUUUCAAUCAUAAAUGGCUCCUUUAUCAUUCUUAAAGGCAUGCUUUGCAUUGUGGAGUCAGUGCUCUCAACUGAUGUUGGAAAAAGAUAACAACCCUGUGCUGUGCAGCUCCGCACUGUCCAGAACAGAAGAGGGUGGCUGUCAAUGAAGGACUGAAUUAAUUGUGUCCGGAUUACGGUUAAAUUGCAGGUUUGCUUUGGUAGUCAUGCUCGGAUUUUAUUUACUCUUAAUAAUGCCGGCAUGUUAUACUGGUGAAUGGAUGGAACUUGGAUAGUGGAAGAUGUGGCCUUGGAGGAUUGUAAUACGUGUAUCAUGUCUUCAUUUUUUUUGUUUCCUUUCCUAAAAUCUAUUGGAUUGUAAAAAUGGUGUCUUGUUGUCCAUUGCCAUCACCAAUAUGUUUUUCCUGCUUACUACAAAAAUUUGCCUUUUUUCCUUAACAGUGAGAAUAGUGUGAACUAAGUGAAACUCCAGUUUGUUUCUAUGGUAAGUGGACAGGUACUUUAGCCGAGGAGAUUGAGUAUGUAGAGUGCAAUGGCCAGGUUUUAAUUUAUUUCCCAGAGACAGACUUAGGUGGUUCAUUAUCAUCUUGUAUUUGGAAGAUCAUUUUCAUUGUGAACGUUCUACACUAUUUACCCCCUUAAAAAUAUAUUUCAUCCAAGCCUGUACGUAGCAUGUUGUCCUGGGUACAUAUGCUUAUGCAUGAACGCCAUAAAAACAGAGCUUAAACAAAUCAGAUAUACAUGGACAAAACUCUCUUUGCCAGCACAAGAGCUGCGUUUGGGCUCAGCAUCCCUCUGCACUCUAUGCAGCUGCUUAUUUAAUUAAAUGCAGUAACAUGGAGCCAUAUGCCCCCUUCCUCUUCAAAAACCCACAGGAGGGGGAAACUACAUCAAUACAGCUGCAGCUUUCAAGCUCUGUGUAAGAUGGGCCAUUCUCUCCUCAGAAAAUAAGGAGUGGCCCUUUGAAUUCCAUGGGGAAUCCUGGCCCUAAUCCUGCAGAUCUUGGGACAUCUGCUCACUCACUGCUAACGCAUCUGUGGAACAGCCCCUCCACUACCAACACAUAUGCACACUCAUGGCAUCAUGACUGACUUUUUGCCAUUGGCCACUGGGUAUCUCCCUCUUAACUAUUCCCCACACCAUAUCUCCUCAGGGAAAUAGAAGCAGCAGAUUGGAAGUAAACGUUCCAAGGUGCAGUAUUAACAUCGUAUGGAUUCCUGCUGGACAAUCCACUAGGGAUAUAGACUGCCUAGACCAGAUGCCCCAAGUCCAUACACUCUCUGCAUGGGGUUAUGCAGAUUAUGGGUUGGGUUGAGCAAACCCAUAAUCUACACAACCCCGUGUUGUGGAGAUACUGAGUGCCCUCAAAUUGGGGUGGGCUCACAAGAGUACACUAAUAGUGGCUCUGCUCUGUGUCUUCCUCAGCUUUUAUGACAUUUUUUCGUGACUUAGCAUGGGUUUGCUCCCCUCAAUGGCAUGGAACGCAGUAUAACGUUAUUAGCUUCAUCUUUUCAACAGAAAUAACAAAUUGUGUUGCACCCUUGGGGAGUGACAGAGAGCUUGUCUUUGAGUUUCCAAAUUCUAUCUAUACACACACGUAUACAGAGAGUGAGAAUGAAAAAGAGAAUGGAGAGAAAAGAAGCUUGUGAGGAAUAUAAAUAACACAAAGAAUAAUGGAUCCUGACUGCACACCAUAAAUAGACUUGGCAGAAUUAGAUGUUUAUUUUUUUAUAAUUUUGAUAAUAGCAAUGUUUAUAAUUAAGCAUUUUUCUAUUUUUAGCAAUUUAAGUUUUCACAGUUGUGGGAAAUUGAGGGUCAGAAAAUAAUUAUUUAAUUCAAAAAGUUAAAGCUUUAUAACCAUUACAGCAAAACUUGUCAACAUCAUAUGUAAAAAUGGCCUUAAAUCAAAUUCUACUAAGUUCUCAAGCAGUAUUUUCCUUACUAUGCCUGUCUGUAAAUUUCACUUGUUAUUGUUGGAAUAUGUAAGGGUUAAAUAAAGACAUG